rnacentral:lncRNA from 1 species
GAAGGUCUUUCAAGAAAUAUCAAAUGGCUAGCUCCUCUAUCAUGGUUUCCUCUUCUUCAUCGGACAAGUAGCCACGUUUGCUUGGUCAAGAAAUGGGUUCACCAGUUGUUCAGCAAAAAUGGCCUAUGAAAAUCUCUCAAAACCUACUCUCCCUGCAAUACAAAAGAUCAUCACACGAUCUACUUCCUACGCCUCAGGAACUCGAUCCUAGGGUCCAAAUCCGUCCGAAAUUUGAGCCAAUUAGCAGGAAAACUCGCUUAAAAAGUACCCAAGCCCGUCCGAUAAUGCUCUGGACUCUCCAAAAAAGCCUGUGAACCUACCGUUUUGCCACCAGAUCUGAAAC